rnacentral:rRNA from 1 species
AGGAAGUGGGGAUGACGUCAAGUCCUCAUGGCCUUUAUGCUUAGGGCUACACGCGUGCUACAAUGGGUGGUACAAAGGAGAAGCCAACUCGCGAGAGCGCGCCAAUCUCAAAAAGCCAUCCUCAGUUCGGAUUGGAGUCUGCAACUCGACUCCAUGAAGUUGGAAUCGCUAGUAAUCGCGGAUCAGAACGCCGCGGUGAAUACGUUCCCGGGCCUU